rnacentral:rRNA from 1 species
UAGGGAAUAUUAGUAAUGGGCGAAAGCCUGAACUAGCAACGCCGCGUGUGCGAAGAAGGCCUUCGGGCUGUAAAGCACUUUUUGAGAGGAUGAGGAAGGACGGUACUCUCAGAAUAAGUCUCGGCUAACUACGUGCCAGCAGCCGCGAUAACACGUAGGAGGCGAACGUUAUCCGGACUUACUGGGCGUAAAGCGCGUGUAGGUGGUUUGGUAAGUAGGGCGUGAAAGCUCCUGGCUCAACUGGGAGAGGCCGUUCUAAACUGCCGAACUAGAGGAUGGUAGAGGGAGGUGGAAUUCCGGGUGUAGCGGUGGAAUGCGCAGAUAUCCGGAGGAACACCAGUGGCGAAAGCGGCCUCCUGGACCAUUCCUGACACUCAGACGCGAAAGCUAGGGUAGCAAACGG